ACUCAAAUGAAUUGACGGGGGCCCGCACAAGCGGUGGAGCAUGUGGUUUAAUUCGACGCAACGCGAAGAACCUUACCUGGGUUUGAACCGCUGAGGACCGGCACAGAGAUGUGUCUUUCCUUCGGGACUUCAGUAGAGGUGCUGCAUGGCUGUCGUCAGCUCGUGUCGUGAGAUGUUGGGUUAAGUCCCGCAACGAGCGCAACCCUUGCCCUCUGUUGCUACCAGGUUAUGCUGAGCACUCUGAGGGGACUGCCGGUGAUAAACCGGAGGAAGGUGGGGAUGACGUCAAGUCCUCAUGGCCUUUAUGUCCAGGGCUACACACGUGCUACAAUGGUCGGUACAAAGGGUCGCAAAACCGCGAGGUGGAGCUAAUCCCAAAAAGCCGGCCCCAGUUCGGAUUGGAGUCUGCAAUUCGACUCCAUGAAGGUGGAAUCGCUAGUAAUCGCAGAUCAGCAGGCUGCGGUGAAUACGUUCCCGGGCCUUGUACACACCGCCCGU
rnacentral:rRNA from 1 species